rnacentral:misc_RNA from 1 species
AACGCACCUUGCGCCUUUUGGUAUUCCGAAAGGCAUGCCUGUUUGAGUGUCAUGAAAUCUCAAUCCCCUCGGGUUUUUGACCCGAUCGGAUUUGGACUUGGGUGUCUGCCAGCUAAUGGCUCACCUUAAAAGACUUAGUGGGAUAAGCGCCCAUGGCUAAGACGUAAUAAGUUUCGUCUGGCUUGGUGUGAUGCCUGCUCAUAACAAACCAUAUCUUUUGACUCUGACCUCAAAUCAGGUAGGGCUACCCGCUGAACUUAA